rnacentral:rRNA from 1 species
UGAGGAAUAUUGGUCAAUGGACGAGAGUCUGAACCAGCCAUGCCGCGUGUAGGAAGACUGCCCUAUGGGUUGUAAACUACUUUUAUACAGGAAGAACAUGUUCUACGUGUAGAAUUUUGACGGUACUGUACGAAUAAGCACCGGCUAACUCCGUGCCAGCAGCCGCGGUAAUACGGAGGGUGCAAGCGUUAUCCGGAAUCAUUGGGUUUAAAGGGUUCGUAGGCGGAUUAAUAAGUCAGAGGUGAAAUCCUGCAGCUCAACUGUAGCAUUGCCUUUGAUACUGUUAGUCUUGAGUUAUAUUGAAGUGGAUAGAAUAUGUAGUGUAGCGGUGAAAUGCAUAGAUAUUACAU